rnacentral:rRNA from 1 species
GUCGUGAUUCUGGCUCAGAUUGAACGCUGGCGGGAUGCUUUACACAUGCAAGUCGAACGGCAGCACAGACUUCGGUCUGGUGGCGAGUGGCGAACAGGAGUAAUGUAUCGGAACGUGCCUAGUAGCGGGGAUAACUACGCGAAAGCGUAGCUAAUACCGCAUACGCCUCGGGGGAAAGCGGGGGGACCUCGGGCCUCGCACUAUUAGAGCGGCCGAUAUCGGAUUAGCUAGCUGGUGGGGUAACGGCUCACCAAGGCGACGAUCCGCAGCUGGUUUGAGAGGACGACCAGCCACACUGGGACUGGAGACACGGCCCAGACUCCUACGGGAGGCAGCAGUGGGGAAUUUUGGACAAUGGGGAAACUCCUGAUUCAGCCAUCCUCCGCGUGUAAGAUGAAGGCCUUCGGGUUGUAAAGAAUUCUUUGGCAGGAAAGAAACGGCACGGGAUAAUACCAGGCACCUGACGGUACCUGCAGAAAUAAGCACCGGCUAACUACCACGUGCCAGCAGCCGCGGUAAUACGUAGGGUGCAAGCGUUAAUCGGAAUUACUGGGCGUAAAGCGUGCGCAGGCGGUUCGGAAAAAGAAAGAUGUGAAACUUCAGAGCUUAACUUUGGAACUGCAUUUUUAACUACCGAGCUAGAGUAGUCGAGGAGGUGGAAUUCCGCGUGUAGCAGUGAAAUGCGUAGAUAUGCGGAGAACACCGAUGGCGCAAGGCAGCCUCCUGGGAUAACACUGACGCUCAUGCACGAAAGCGUGGGGAGCAAACAGGAUUAGAUACCCCGGUAGUCCACGCCCUAAACGAUGUCAACUAGUUGUUGGGGCCUUCGCCUUGGUAGCGCAGCUAACGCGUGAAGUUGACCGCCUGGGGAGUACGGUCGCAAGAUUAAAACCUCAAAGGAAUUGACGGGGACCCGCACAAGCGGUGGAUGAUGUGGAUUAAUUCGAUGCAACGCGAAAACCUUACCUACCCUUGACAUGUCUUGGAAUCCCGAAGAGAUUUGGGAGUGCUCGCAAGAGAACCGGAACACAGGUGCUGCAUGGCUGUCGUCAGCUCGUGUCGAGAUGCUGGGUUAAGUCCCGCAACGAGCGCAACCCUUGUCAUUAGUUGCUACGAAAGGGCACCUCAUCGAGACUGCCGGUGACAAACCGAGGAAGGUGGGGAUGACGUCAAGUCCUCAUGGCCCUUAUGGGUAGAGCUUCACAUGUCAUACAAUGGUCGGGACAGAGGGCUUCGCCAACCCGGGCGAGGGGGAGCCAAUCCUAGAAAACCCGAUCGUAGUCCGGAUCGCAGUCUGCAACUCGACUGCGGUGAAGUCGGAAUCGCUAGUAAUCGCGGAUCAGCAUGUCGCGGUGAAUACGUUCCCGGGUCUUGUACACACCGCCCGUCACACCAUGGGGAGUGGGUUUUACCAGAAGUAGUUAGCCUAACCGGUAAGGAGGGCGAUUACCACGGUAGGAUUCAUGACUGGGGUGAAGUCGUAACAAGGUAGC